rnacentral:rRNA from 1 species
GACGAACGCUGGCGGCGUGCCUAAUACAUGCAAGUUGAGCGCUGAAGGUUGGUACCUGUACCAACUGGAUGAGCAGCGAACGGGUGAGUAACGCGUGGGGAAUCUGCCUUUGAGCGGGGGACAACAUUUGGAAACGAAUGCUAAUACCGCAUAAAAACUUUAAACACAAGUUUUAAGUUUGAAAGAUGCAAUUGCAUCACUCAAAGAUGAUCCCGCGUUGUAUUAGCUAGUUGGUGAGGUAAAGGCUCACCAAGGCGAUGAUACAUCGCCGACCUGAGAGGGUGAUCGGCCACAUUGGGACUGAGACACGGCCCAAACUCCUACGGGAGGCAGCAGUAGGGAAUCUUAGGCAAUGGACGAAAGUCUGACCGAGCAACGCCGCGUGAGUGAAGAAGGUUUUCGGAUCGUAAAACUCGGUUGGUAGAGAAGAACGUUGGUGAGAGUGGAAAGCUCAUCAAGUGACGGUAACUACACAGAAAGGGACGGCUAACUACGUG